rnacentral:lncRNA from 1 species
AUCACUGGUAAUGCCAGGUUAGAGAUCACUGGUAAUGCCAGUAAUGCCAGGUUAGAUAUCACUGGUAAUACCAAGUGUAACAGAACUAUGCUUGUGCCUGGACUUAUUUAUCAAUACAGUUGGAUUUACUAAAAACCGAAUAACUAUUUCAUGGGAAAUACCAUUACAGCGAAUGCAGCUCAAACUACCAAACAUCGGACCACCCAGGGGCACAGUUAAGUGGUAUUUUACCUCCCAGUGCUUUUGGAGCCGUUUACAUGGUUUCACACGAAUCCUUUGUGCUCAGAAUAGAUGGCCGCCAUUUCGGGACUUUACACGUGUUCGCGGCCAUCUUACGCACGAACAGCGGUGUUUGCCCGUGAACGCAUGGAACUAAAAACGGACACGCAAACAGGCGAACACCGCUGAGACCUCCAUGAGCCCAUAACUUCGUGCUGGAACUACCGAACGACCGGCCGUUCGGUAGUUAUGCUUAAGCUCACAUAGGGAUUUCAGCGAACACCAGUGUGACUGUGGAUGACAAGGGGUUCGUGGGGUUUUAAUGCACGAACGGAGACCGACCGCAAGGCCAAAACUUAUGGAACUCUUUUCGGCUAGAGAAUCUGUGCGGUCAGUCAAAACUUCAAAGACCCAUAACUCCCGAACCCCUCAACUGAAUGAGCUGGAAUUUGGAUAUGUUGUUCCCCUGAAUGAGAGCUAUCAAGCAGUACCCUCUGUUUUUGGGGUACAUCCAGAACUUGAGUAAAAUUGUGUAUGUUUUAAUUGUGUUACAUGUUUAUCUGAGGGGAGGAGAUGUGGGGGUUGUACCAUGUGUAUGAUUGGUUAUUGUGAUAAUUAUGUGGGUGUAGCCUUUUUCAGGGCACCAUUGUAUAAAAGGAGACCCCUGUCAAUAAACGUCAGUUCUACUUGACCCUUCAAAACGUAGCCACGUCUCGUUCUUGGAGGGGAUUUAUUGUACAGUUACUCUGCUUCAUUUUACAGCGAUGCCUGAUUGUACUCCUGGAUAUCGUGGAUGGGAAUAAGAACUCCAUUACUUCACAGCAGCUUGCCUAGAAAAGGACGUUCCAACGGCUGAUACCCCUUCCCAGCUGGGUAGCCGUUACACCAAGUUAGAGAUCACUGGUAAUGCCAGGUUAGAGAUCACUGGUAAUACCAGGUUAGAGAUCACUGGUAAGAGAUCACUGGUAAUGCCAGGUUAGAGAUCACUGGUAAUACCAGGUUAGAGAUCAGUGGUAAUGCCAGGUAAUGCCAGGUUAGAGAUCACCAAUAAUAUCAGGUUAGAGAUCACUGGUAAUGCCAGUAAUGCUAGGUUAGAAAUCACUGGUAAUACCAAGUUAGAGAUCAGUGGUAAUGCCAGGUAAUGCCAGGUUAAAGAUCACCGGUAAUAUCAGGUUAGAUAUCACUGGUAAUACCAAGUUAGAGAUCACUGGUAAUGCCAGGUUAGAGAUCACUGGUAAUGCCAGUAAUGCCAGGUUAGAUAUCACUGGUAAUACCAAGUUAGAGAUCACUGGUAAUGCCAGGUUAGAGAUCACUGGUAAUACCAAGUGUAAAAGAACUAUGCUUGUGCCUGGACUUAUUUAUCAAUACAGUUGGAUUUACUAAAAACUGAGUAACUAUUUCAUGGGAAAUACCAUUACCGCGAAUGCAGCUCAAACUACCGAACAUCGGACCACCCAGGGGCACAGUUAAGUGGUAUUUUACCUCCCAGUGCUUUUGGAGCAGUUUGCAUGGUUUCACACGAAUCCUUUGUGCUCAGAAUAGAUGGCCGCCAUUUUGGGACUUUACACGUGUUCGCGGCCAUCUUACGCACGAACAGCGGUGUUUGCCCGUGAACGCAUGGAACUAAAAACGGACACGCAAACAGGCGAACACCGCUGAGACCUCCAUGAGCCCAUAACUUCGUGCUGGAACUACCGAACGACCGGCCGUUCGGUAGUUAUGCUUAAGAUCACAUAGGGAUUUCAGCGAACACCAGUGUGACUGUGGAUGGCAAGGGGUUCGUGGGGUUUUAAUGCACGAACGGAGACCGACCGCAGGGCCAAAACUUAUGGAACUCUUUUCGGCUAGAGAAUCUGUGCGGUCAGUCAAAACUUCAAAGACCCAUAACUCCCGAACCCCUCAACUGAAUGAGCUGGAAUUUGGAUAUGUUGUUCCCCUGAAUGAGAGCUAUCAAGCAGUACCCUCUGUUUUUGGGGUACAUCCAGAACUUGAGUAAAAUUGUGUAUGUUUUAAUUGUGUUACAUGUUUAUCUGAGGGGAGGAGACGUGGGGGUUGUACCAUGUGUAUGAUUGGUUAUUGUGAUAAUUAUGUGGGUGUAGCCUUUUUCAGGGCACCAUUGUAUAAAAGGAGACCCCUGUCAAUAAACGUCAGUUCUACUUGACCCUUCAAAACGUAGCCACGUCUCGUUCUUGGAGGGGAUUUAUUGUACAGUUACUCUGCCUCAUUUUACAGCGAUGCCUGAUUGUACUCCUGGAUAUCGUGGAUGGGAAUAAGAACUCCAUUACUUCACAGCAGCUUGCCUAGAAAAGGACGUUCCAACGGCUGAUACCCCUUCCCAGCUGGGUAGCCGUUACACCAAGUUAGAGAUCACUGGUAAUGCCAGGUUAGAGAUCACUGGUAAUACCAGGUUAGAGAUCACUGGUAAGAGAUCACUGGUAAUGCCAGGUUAGAGAUCACUGGUAAUACCAGGUUAGAGAUCAGUGGUAAUGCCAGGUAAUGCCAGGUUAGAGAUCACCAAUAAUAUCAGGUUAGAGAUCACUGGUAAUGCCAGUAAUGCUAGGUUAGAAAUCACUGGUAAUACCAAGUUAGAGAUCAGUGGUAAUGCCAGGUAAUGCCAGGUUAAAGAUCACCGGUAAUAUCAGGUUAGAUAUCACUGGUAAUACCAAGUUAGAGAUCACUGGUAAUGCCAGGUUAGAGAUCACUGGUAAUACCAGUAAUGCCAGGUUAGAUAUCACUGGUAAUACCAAGUUAGAGAUCACUGGUAAUGCCAGGUUAGAGAUCACUGGUAAUACCAAGUGUAACAGAACUAUGCUUGUGCCUGGACUUAUUUAUCAAUACAGUUGGAUUUACUAAAAACUGAAUAACUAUUUCAUGGGAAAUACCAUUACCGCGAAUGCAGCUAAAACUACCGAACAUCGGACCACCCAGGGGCACAGUUAAGUGGUAUUUUACCUCCCAGUGCUUUUGGAGCAGUUUGCAUGGUUUCACACGAAUCCUUUGUGCUCAGAAUAGAUGGCCGCCAUUUCGGGACUUUACACGUGUUCGCGGCCAUCUUACGCACGAACAGCGGUGUUUGCCCGUGAACGCAUGGAACUAAAAACGGACACGCAAACAGGCGAACACCGCUGAGACCUCCAUGAGCCCAUAACUUCGUGCUGGAACUACCGAACGACCGGCCGUUCGGUAGUUAUGCUUAAGCUCACAUAGGGAUUUCAGCGAACACCAGUGUGACUGUGGAUGGCAAGGGGUUCGUGGGGUUUUAAUGCACGAACGGAGACCGACCGCAAGGCCAAAACUUAUGGAACUCUUUUCGGCUAGAGAAUCUGUGCGGUCAGUCAAAACUUCAAAGACCCAUAACUCCCGAACCCCUCAACUGAAUGAGCUGGAAUUUGGAUAUGUUGUUCCCCUGAAUGAGAGCUAUCAAGCAGUACCCUCUGUUUUUGGGGUACAUCCAGAACUUGAGUAAAAUUGUGUAUGUUUUAAUUGUGUUACAUGUUUAUCUGAGGGGAGGAGACGUGGGGGUUGUACCAUGUGUAUGAUUGGUUAUUGUGAUAAUUAUGUGGGUGUAGCCUUUUUCAGGGCACCAUUGUAUAAAAGGAGACCCCUGUCAAUAAACGUCAGUUCUACUUGACCCUUCAAAACGUAGCCACGUCUCGUUCUUGGAGGGGAUUUAUUGUACAGUUACUCUGCCUCAUUUUACAGCGAUGCCUGAUUGUACUCCUGGAUAUCGUGGAUGGGAAUAAGAACUCCAUUACUUCACAGCAGCUUGCCUAGAAAAGGACGUUCCAACGGCUGAUACCCCUUCCCAGCUGGGUAGCCGUUACACCAAGUUAGAGAUCACUGGUAAUGCCAGGUUAGAGAUCACUGGUAAUACCAGGUUAGAGAUCACUGGUAAUACCAGGUUAGAGAUCAGUGGUAAUGCCAGGUAAUGCCAGGUUAGAGAUCACCAAUAAUAUCAGGUUAGAGAUCACUGGUAAUGCCAGUAAUGCUAG